rnacentral:rRNA from 1 species
GCNGGCNGCCUACCAUGCAAGUCGAGCGGUAGCACAGAGAGCUUGCUCUCGGGUGACGAGCGGCGGACGGGUGAGUAAUGUCUGGGAAACUGCCUGAUGGAGGGGGAUAACUACUGGAAACGGUAGCUAAUACCGCAUAACGUCGCAAGACCAAAGUGGGGGACCUUCGGGCCUCAUGCCAUCAGAUGUGCCCAGAUGGGAUUAGCUAGUAGGUGGGGUAAUGGCUCACCUAGGCGACGAUCCCUAGCUGGUCUGAGAGGAUGACCAGCCACACUGGAACUGAGACACGGUCCAGACUCCUACGGGAGGCAGCAGUGGGGAAUAUUGCACAAUGGGCGCAAGCCUGAUGCAGCCAUGCCGCGUGUAUGAAGAAGGCCUUCGGGUUGUAAAGUACUUUCAGCGAGGAGGAAGGCGUUAAGGUUAAUAACCUUGGUGAUUGACGUUACUCGCAGAAGAAGCACCGGCUAACUCCGUGCCAGCAGCCGCGGUAAUACGGAGGGUGCAAGCGUUAAUCGGAAUUACUGGGCGUAAAGCGCACGCAGGCGGUCUGUCAAGUCGGAUGUGAAAUCCCCGGGCUCAACCUGGGAACUGCAUUCGAAACUGGCAGGCUAGAGUCUUGUAGAGGGGGGUAGAAUUCCAGGUGUAGCGGUGAAAUGCGUAGAGAUCUGGAGGAAUACCGGUGGCGAAGGCGGCCCCCUGGACAAAGACUGACGCUCAGGUGCGAAAGCGUGGGGAGCAAACAGGAUUAGAUACCCUGGUAGUCCACGCCGUAAACGAUGUCGACUUGGAGGUUGUGCCCUUGAGGCGUGGCUUCCGGAGCUAACGCGUUAAGUCGACCGCCUGGGGAGUACGGCCGCAAGGUUAAAACUCAAAUGAAUUGACGGGGGCCCGCACAAGCGGUGGAGCAUGUGGUUUAAUUCGAUGCAACGCGAGAACCUUACCUACUCUUGACAUCCAGAGACUUAGCAGAGAUGCUUUGGUGCCUUCGGGAACUCUGAGACAGUGCUGCAUGNUGUCGUCAGCUCGUGUGUGAAAUGUUGGGUUAAGUCCCGCAACGAGCGNAACCCUUAUCCUUUGUUGCCAGCGGUUCGGCCGGGAACCNC